rnacentral:misc_RNA from 1 species
GUAUUUUCGAAUUAAGUUAAUUCACGAUACACUUGUUCAGACAAACUGGUUUAAAAAGGUUGAUGUAGUUAAGAAAUCCUCCCUCUCGCAGUUAAGGAAAGAGGAGGAGAACUCAAACGUUGCACACAAGGUGGAUAUGGAUUUGUUUAAAAAGCGCCAUAAAACGCUUAUUGUGAAUGAUCCUUCCGCAGGUUCACCUACGGAAA